rnacentral:rRNA from 1 species
AUGGCGCGCAUAAACUUCGGUGUUAUCACCCUGAUCCCCAAAGUAGUUGGGGCGACGGACAUUCGCCAAUUCAGGCCUAUCACAGUUAUCAACGUCCUGGAGCGCAUCUUCUCUAAAGUAUGCGCGUCUAGACUCGCGCCUAUUGCUGAGAGGAUGAAUCACCCACUCCAGACAGCAUUCCUGAAAGGGAGAAGAAUCCAUGACGGGAUACUCUCCCUCCACGAGAUUGUCCACGAGGUGCGAUCGCGUGGGCUGAAGGGUGUAUUUUUGAAGCUGGACUUCCAGAAAGCAUAUGAUCGGCUUGACUGGGAUUUCCUGCGCCUUGUCAUGCAACGUAGGGGCUUUGAGGACAGAUGGUGCAACUGGAUUAUGCAAUUGGUACGGUCUAGCAAGACUGCGAUAAACAUUAACGGAGAGGUGGGGCCUUUCUUUGCGGCAUCAGCGGGGGUGAAGCAAGGGGACCCGAUAUCCCCCCUUCUCUUCAACCUUACCGUGGACGCGUUGGCAGGUAUCCUGGACAAGGCUAGUGAGGGAGUCCCGGACUAG